rnacentral:tRNA from 3 species
GGGUUGUAAUGGUUAUUUCCCAGAAUAGAUCUUUUAAUCCGUUGGUUAUAGGUUCAAAUCCUAUACGACCCACCA